CCUACGGGUGGCAGCAGUGAGGAAUAUUGGUCAAUGGGCGUAAGCCUGAACCAGCCAAGUCGCGUGAGGGAUGAAGGUUCUAUGGAUCGUAAACCUCUUUUAUAAGGGAAUAAAGUGUGGGACGUGUCCUGUUUUGUAUGUACCUUCUGAAUAAGGAUCGGCUUACUCCGUGCCAGCAGCCGCGGUAAUACGGAGGAUCCGAGCGUUUUCCGGAUUUAUUGGGUUUAAAGGGUGCGUAGGCGGCCUUUUAAGUCAGCGGUGAAAGUCUGUGGCUCAACCAUAGAAUUGCCGUUGAAACUGGGAGGCUUGAGUAUGUUUGAGGCAGGCGGAAUGCGUGGUGUAGCGGUGAAAUGCUUAGAUAUCACGCAGAACCCCGAUUGCGAAGGCAGCCUGCCAAGCCAUGACUGACGCUGAUGCACGAAAGCGUGGGGAUCAAACAGGAUUAGAUACCCCAGUAGUC
rnacentral:rRNA from 1 species